GCUCAACCGAGGAAGUGCUUCGAAAACUGGUAAACUUGAGUGCAGAAGAGGAAAGUGGAACUCCAUGUGUAGCGGUGGAAUGCGUAGAUAUAUGGAAGAACACCAGUGGCGAAGGCGGCUUUCUGGUCUGUAACUGACGCUGAGAUUCGAAAGCAUGGGUAGCAAACAGGAUUAGAUACCCUGGUAGUCCAUGCCGUAAACGAUGAGUGCUAAGUGUUGGAGGGUUUCCGCCCUUCAGUGCUGCAGCUAACGCAUUAAGCACUCCGCCUGGGGAGUACGAUCGCAAGAUUGAAACUCAAAGGAAUUGACGGGGGCCCGCACAAGCGGUGGAGCAUGUGGUUUAAUUCGAAGCAACGCGAAGAACCUUACCAGGUCUUGACAUACCAUGAAAAGCUUAGAGAUAAGUCUUUCCCUUCGGGGACAUGGAUACAGGUGGUGCAUGGUUGUCGUCAGCUCGUGUCGUGAGAUGUUGGGUUAAGUCCCGCAACGAGCGCAACCCUUAUUAUCAGUUGCCAGCAUUCAGUUGGGCACUCUGGUGAGACUGCCGGUGAUAAACCGGAGGAAGGUGGGGACGACGUCAAAUCAUCAUGCCCCUUAUGACCUGGGCUACACAUGUGCUACAAUGGUCGGUACAACG
rnacentral:rRNA from 1 species